rnacentral:rRNA from 1 species
CACCAGUGGGGAAUAUUGGGCAAUGGAGGGAACUCUGACCCAGCGACGCCGCGUGCGGGAUGAAGGCCUUCGGGUUGUAAACCGCUUUCAGCAAGGAAGAAGCGAAAGUGACGGUACUUGCAGAAGAAGCACCGGCUAACUAUGUGCCAGCAGCCGCGGUAAUACAUAGGGUGCAAGCGUUGUCCGGAAUUAUUGGGCGUAAAGAGCUCGUAGGUGGUUCGUCACGUCGGAUGUGAAAAUCUGGGGCUUAACCCCAGACCUGCAUUCGAUACGGGCGAGCUAGAGUGUGGUAGGGGAGACUGGAAUUCCUGGUGUAGCGGUGGAAUGCGCAGAUAUCAGGAGGAACACCAAUGGCGAAGGCAGGUCUCUGGGCCAUUACUGACACUGAGGAGCGAAAGCGUGGGGAGCGAACAGGAUUAGAUACCCCCGU